rnacentral:rRNA from 1 species
CCCCUAGAUGUUCUGGGCCGCACGCGCGCUACACUGAACAGUUCAACAAGUCUUAACCUUGGCCGAUAGGUCUGGGUAAUCUUUGAACGCUGUUCGUGAUUGGGAUAGACCUUUGCAAUUAUGGGUCUUCAACGAGGAAUUCCUAGUAAACGCAAGUCCUCAGCUUGCAUUGAUUACGUCCCUGCCCUUUGUACACACCGCCCGUCGCACCUACCGAUUGAAUGGUCCGGUGAAAUCUCGGGACGGCGGCUUGGUCGCUUGCGUCCGACUGCUGAAACUUGAUUAAACCAUAUCAUUUAGAGGAAGGUGAANUCGUAACA